rnacentral:snRNA from 1 species
GGAUGUGAGGGUGAUCUGGCUGCAACAUCUGUCACCCCAUUGAUUGCCAGGGUUGAUUCGGCUGAUCUGGCUGCCUAGGCGGGUGUCCCCUUCCUCCCUCACUGCUCCAUGUGCAUCCCUCCCGAAGCUGCACGCACAGUCAAAGAGGAUGACCAUCCCCAACAGAGGAGGACUGUUCUUUGGUCAAGGGUAUACAAGUAGAUGUGCUCCCCUGACAGAACCUCCAAACAAGCUCUCAAGAUAUAUAUGUUAAUGUGUCAUUAUAAAUUGGACACCCAUGUACCCACUACCAGGUCUAGAAUACUAUUCAGCUUUCCCU